UGAAACAUGAGAUAGAUGAAAGGCUCCUAUUUCGAAGCUUGUCCGUACACUGGAGCAAUUUAAUGAUGCAAUAUUGUCAGCAAGAGGCAGGUGGGAAAUACCACGUGUGUACGACCUUCCUCCUUUAACAGCCACUCACCAUGUAUUUAUGUCCGCCACAUUAAAAAGUAUGGAUCUAAGAAGCACUCUCGUUGUUUGAAAGAACCAGACGCUGUUAGCAUUGCUGCACAAUGAUAAUGGUCCAGUUUGAAACGCUAAUGCAAGUGGUUUAGUUAGGAUAAAUAGAAAGGACAACCAGUUUGAAAUGUUCACAUAUCACGAUGAGGUAGUAACAUACAUGAUGUAGCCAAUUUAGUCUAACGUAGUGAAAAAUGAUCAUAACUUGCAUAACAG
rnacentral:lncRNA from 1 species